CAGUAGCCGCGGUAAUACGAAGGGUGCAAGCGUUACUCGGAAUUACUGGGCGUAAAGCGUGCGUAGGUGGUGGUUUAAGUCCGUUGUGAAAGCCCUGGGCUCAACCUGGGAAUUGCAGUGGAUACUGGAUCACUAGAGUGUGGUAGAGGAUAGUGGAACUUCCGGUGUAGCAGUGAAAUGCGUAGAGAUCGGAAGGAACAUCUGUGGCGAAGGCGACUAUCUGGGCCAACACUGACACUGAGGCACGAAAGCGUGGGGAGCAAACAGGAUUAGAUACCCCCGUAGUCCCUGUCUCUUAUAC
rnacentral:rRNA from 1 species